AUUGAACGCUGGCGGCAGGCUUAACACAUGCAAGUCGAGCGAGCGGCGGACGGGUGAGUAAUGUCUGGGAAACUGCCUGAUGGAGGGGGAUAACUACUGGAAACGGUAGCUAAUACCGCAUACCAUCCGAUGUCCCCAGAUGGGAUUCGCUAGUAGGUGGGGUAAUGGCUCACCUAGGCGACGAUCCCUAGCUGGUCUGAGAGGAUGACCAGCCACACUAGAACUGAGACCCGGUCCAGACUCAUACGGGAGGCAGCAGUUGGGAAGAUUGCACAAUGGGCGAAAGCCUGAUGCAGCCAUGCCGCGUGUGUGAAGAAGGCCUUCGGGUUGUAAAGCACUUUCAGCGAGGAGGCGUUACUCGCAGAAGAAGCACCGGCUAACUCCGUGCCAGCAGCCGCGGUAAUUC
rnacentral:rRNA from 1 species